UCUUAGCGCCAGGGAUAGUAGCGGCAUCCUUUUUUAUAUGAUGCGAAUGAAUAUAAAGAAGAUGGUAAUUAAAAAAGAUAAAGCGAAUAGCCCGGUCUCAA
rnacentral:sRNA from 1 species